CGGACGGGUGAGUAAUGUCUGGGGAAACUGCCUGAUGGAGGGGGAUAACUACUGGAAACGGUAGCUAAUACCGCAUAACGUCGCAAGACCAAAGAGGGGGACCUUAGGGCCUCUUGCCAUCGGAUGUGCCCAGAUGGGAUUAGCUAGUAGGUGGGGUAACGGCUUACCUAGGCGACGAUCCCUAGCUGGUCUGAGAGGAUGACCAGCCACACUGGAACUGAGACACGGUCCAG
rnacentral:rRNA from 1 species